rnacentral:rRNA from 1 species
ACGGGUGAGUAACACGUGGGAACGUACCUUUCGGUUCGGAAUAAUUCAGGGAAACUUGGACUAAUACCGGAUAAGCCCUUCGGGGGAAAGAUUUAUCGCCGAUAGAUCGGCCCGCGUCUGAUUAGCUAGUUGGUGAGGUAAUGGCUCACCAAGGCGACGAUCAGUAGCUGGUCUGAGAGGAUGAUCAGCCACAUUGGGACUGAGACACGGCCCAAACUCCUACGGGAGGCAGCAGUGGGGAAUAUUGGACAAUGGGCGCAAGCCUGAUCCAGCCAUGCCGCGUGAGUGAUGAAGGCCUUAGGGUUGUAAGGCUCUUUUGUCCGGGAAGAUAAUGACUGUACCGGAAGAAUAAGCCCCGGCUAACUUCGUGCCAGCAGCCGCGGUAAUACGAAGGGGGCUAGCGUUGCUCGGAAUCACUGGGCGUAAAGGGCGCGUAGGCGGACUCUUAAGUCGGGGGUGAAAGCCCAGGGCUCAACCCUGGAAUUGCCUUCGAUACUGAGAGUCUUGAGUUCGGAAGAGGUUGGUGGAACUGCGAGUGUAGAGGUGAAAUUCGUAGA